rnacentral:misc_RNA from 1 species
GAUGAAGAACGCAGCGAAAUGCGAUAAGUAGUGUGAAUUGCAGAAUUCAGUGAAUCAUCGAAUCUUUGAACGCACAUUGCGCCCUUUGGUAUUCCUUAGGGCAUGCCUGUUCGAGCGUCAUUUAAACCUUCAAGCUAAGCUUGGUGUUGGGUGACUGUCCGCUUCACGGCGGACUCGCCUCAAAAUUAUUGGCGGCCGGUACAUUGGCUUCGAGCGCAGCAGAAACGCGAACUCGGGCCCGUCGUAUUGGCUCCCAGAAGCUAUCUUCACAAUUUUGACCUCGGAGCAGGUAGGGAUACCCGCUGAACUUAAGCAUAUCAAUAAGCGGAGGA